rnacentral:rRNA from 1 species
AUUGAACGCUGGCGGCAUGCUAUACACAUGCAGUCGAACGGUAACAGGUUAAGCUGACGAGUGGCGAACGGGUGAGUAAUGCAUCGGAACGUGCCCGAUCGUGGGGGAUAACGCAGCGAAAGCUGCGCUAAUACCGCAUACGAUCUGAGGAUGAAAGCGGGGGACCGUAAGGCCUCGCGCGAUCGGAGCGGCCGAUGUCAGAUUAGGUAGUUGGUGGGGUAAAGGCUCACCAAGCCAACGAUCUGUAGCUGGUCUGAGAGGACGACCAGCCACACUGGGACUGAGACACGGCCCAGACUCCUACGGGAGGCAGCAGUGGGGAAUUUUGGACAAUGGGCGAAAGCCUGAUCCAGCAAUGCCGCGUGCAGGAAGAAGGCCUUCGGGUUGUAAACUGCUUUUGUACGGAGCGAAAAGGUCUCCUCUAAUACAGGGGGCUCAUGACGGUACCGUAAGAAUAAGCACCGGCUAACUACGUGCCAGCCGCCGCCGUAA